rnacentral:sRNA from 1 species
AGCAGCCGCGGUAAUUCCAGCUCCAAUAGCGUAUAUUAAAGUUGUUGCAGUUAAAAAGCUCGUAGUUGAAUUUCGGGAUCAAUUGAUUGGUCAUGCCUUGGUAUGAACUGGUCAUAUUGGUUCUCACCUUCUAAUGAACCAUAAUGUCAUUCACUUGAUGUUAUGGGGAAUUAGGACUGUUACCUUGAAAAAAUUAGAGUGUUUAAAGCAGGCUUACGCUUGAAUACAUUAGCAUGGAAUAAUGAAAUAGGACAUCGCAUUCUAUUUUGUUGGUUUCUAGGAUCGAUGUAAUGAUUAAUAGGGAUAGUUGGGGGCAUUAGUAUUCAAUUGUCAGAGGUGAAAUUCUUGGAUUUAUUGAAGACUAACUACUGCGAAAGCAUUUGCCAAGGAUGUUUUCAUUAAUCAAGAACGAAAGUUAGGGGAUCGAAGACGAUCAGAUACCGUCGUAGUCUUAACCAUAAACUAUGCCGACUAGGGAUCGGAUGAUGUUAAUUUUUAAAUGA